rnacentral:rRNA from 1 species
AUGUACAUUCCUACAACAUACACACAAGAUCCCAUUAGAAAUCCAUACUUGAGUGCGCUCGAGAUAGAGUAGUACUGGUAUGGGUGACCACCCAGGAAGUCGUAGUGUUUUACAUG